AGUAACGUGUAAAGAACUUGCCCUUUAGACUGGGAUAACAGAGGGAAACUUCUGAUAAUACUGGAUAAGUUAGUAUAUCGCAUGAUAUGCAAAUGAAAGNCUACGGCACUAAAGGAGAGCUUUGCGUCCUAUUAGCUAGUUGGUAAGGUAAGAGCUUACCAAGGCGAUGAUAGGUAGCCGGCCUGAGAGGGUGGACGGCCACAUUGGGACUGAGACACGGCCCAAACUCCUACGGGAGGCAGCAGCG
rnacentral:rRNA from 1 species